GUCAGAUUGGCCGAGCGGUGUAAGGCGCCAGGUUUAAGCUCUGGUUCCCGUAAGGGAGCGUGGGUUCGAACCCCACAUCUGACA
rnacentral:tRNA from 1 species